UCCCUGAUAGCUCAGUUGGUUAAGAAUCUGCCUGCAAUGCGGGAGACCCGGGUUCAAUUCCUGGGUCAGGGAA
rnacentral:tRNA from 1 species